UACGUAGGUGGCAAGCGUUGUCCGGAAUUACUGGGCGUAAAGCGCAUGUAGGCGGUCGGAUAAGUCGGGUGUGAAAGCCCCCUGCUCAACCGGGGAGGGCCAUUGGAAACUGGGAGGCUUGAGUAUAGGAGAGAAGAGUGGAAUUCCACGUGUAGCGGUGAAAUGCGUAGAGAUGUGGAGGAACACCAGUGGCGAAGGCGACUCUUUGGCCUAUAACUGACGCUGAGGCGCGAAAGCGUGGGGAGCAAACAGG
rnacentral:misc_RNA from 1 species